CCUACGGGUGACAGCAGUGAGGAAUAUUGGUCAAUUGACGAGAGUCUGAACCAGCCAAGUAGCGUGAAGGAUGACUGCCCUAUGGGUUGUAAACUUCUUUUAUAUGGGAAUAAAAUGUUCCACGUGUGGGAUUUUGUAUGUACCAUAUGAAUAAGGAUCGGCUAACUCCGUGCCAGCAGCCGCGGUAAUACGGAGGAUCCGAGCGUUAUCCUGAUUUAUUGGGUUUAAAGGGAGCGUAGGUGGAUUGUUAAGUCAGUUGUGAAAGUUUGCGGCUCAACCGUAAAAUUGCAGUUGAAACUGGCAGUCUUGAGUACAGUAGAGGUGGGCGGAAUUCGUGGUGUAGCGGUGAAAUGCUUAGAUAUCACGAAGAACUCCGAUUGCGAAGGCAGUUCACUGGACUGCAACUGACACUGAGGCUCGAAAGUGUGGGUAUCAAACAGGAUUAGAUACCCUGGUAGUC
rnacentral:rRNA from 1 species